rnacentral:lncRNA from 1 species
GAUAUAAGAUUUUACAGUCAGCAUCAUUUCUUACAGUUCAGAAUUUACUGAUUUUAUUAACUGUUUCUUAAUUAUUAAUGAUUCCAAGAAGUUUUAAAAAAUAUUUUUAAUUUAAACAAUUGGAUUAUAAUUUUUUCAACAACAGCAUUAUCAUCAUGCCUGUAUCCUUAUAACAGAGUGAGCAGUACUCAAAGAAGGAAGAGAGAGAAUGGGAAAACACUCAAAUAUCACUAAUCAGAUGGUACUAUACAUCCCUAUCUCUACACAUCAUAUCAACUUCUUUUACUGUCAUUUUUUUUCAUUUAUGCUUGCUUCUUAUAAACACUUUAAAACCCAUAUAUCUGCAGAUCCCCACUCCACUUGUUCUCUCUGCUCUUUCCUUGGCCUUCCUCUUACAUUUACCCUCUAUACAUCCAACAUAUACUUGCUUUAUUAAUUGUUCUUCAUUCAUUCAUUCCACAUGACCAAACCAUCUCAAAGU